CCUACGGGAGGCAGCAGUGGGGAAUAUUGGACAAUGGGGGCAACCCUGAUCCAGCCAUGCCGCGUGCGUGAAGAAGGCCUUAGGGUUGUAAAGCGCUUUCACCGGUGACGAUGAUGACGGUAGCCGGAGAAGAAGCCCCGGCUAACUCCGUGCCAGCAGCCGCGGUAAUACGGAGGGGGCAAGCGUUGUUCGGAAUUACUGGGCGUAAAGGGCGCGUAGGCGGAAAGCCAAGUCAGGGGUGAAAGGCCUGGGCUCAACCCGGGAACUGCCUUUGAAACUGGUUUUCUAGAGUACGGGAGAGGAUGGCGGAAUUCCCAGUGUAGAGGUGAAAUUCGUAGAUAUUGGGAAGAACACCGGUGGCGAAGGCGGCCAUCUGGCCCGGUACUGACGCUAAGGCGCGAAAGCGUGGGGAGCAAACAGGAUUAGAUACCCUGGUAGUCCACGCCGUAAACGAUGUGUGCUAGCCGUUGGGGCCUCAGGCUUCAGUGGCGCAGUUAACGCGUUAAGCACACCGCCUGGGGAGUACGGCCGCAAGGUUAAAACUCAAAGGAAUUGACGG
rnacentral:rRNA from 1 species